GAACGCUGGCGGCGUGCCUAAUACAUGCACGUAGAACGCUGAAGGAGGAGCUUGCUUCUCUGGAUGAGUUGCGAACGGGUGAGUAACGCGUAGGUAACCUGCCUGGUAGCGGGGGAUAACUAUUGGAAACGAUAGCUAAUACCGCAUAAGAGUAGAUGUUGCAUGACAUUUGCUUAAAAGGUGCAAUUGCAUCACUACCAGAUGGACCUGCGUUGUAUUAGCUAGUUGGUGGGGUAACGGCUCACCAAGGCGACGAUACAUAGCCGACCUGAGAGGGUGAUCGGCCACACUGGGACUGAGACACGGCCCAGACUCCUACGGGAGGCAGCAGUAGGGAAUCUUCGGCAAUGGACGGAAGUCUGACCGAGCAACGCCGCGUGAGUGAAGAAGGUUUUCGGAUCGUAAAGCUCUGUUGUAAGAGAAGAACGAGUGUGAGAGUGGAAAGUUCACACUGUGACGGUAGCUUACCAGAAAGGGACGGCUAACUACGUG
rnacentral:rRNA from 1 species